rnacentral:tRNA from 1 species
CUUGGUGCAGCAGAAUCAGGCUUUGCGGGAGCCCUAAACACUCCUGUUAGACGUUCAAAUCGUCUCACCAACA